CAGCAGCCGCCGCGGGAAUACGUAGGGUGCGAGCGUUAAUCGGAAUUACUGGGCGUAAAGCGUGCGCAGGCGGUGAUGUAAGACAGUUGUGAAAUCCCCGGGCUCAACCUGGGAACUGCAUCUGUGACUGCAUCGCUGGAGUGCGGCAGAGGGGGAUGGAAUUCCGCGUGUAGCAGUGAAACGCGUAGAUAUGCGGAGGAACACCGAUGGCGAAGGCAAUCCCCUGGGCCUGCACUGACGCUCAUGCACGAAAGCGUGGGGAGCAAACAGGAUUAGAGACCCGUGUAGUCCCUGUCUCUUAUAC
rnacentral:rRNA from 1 species